GGCAGCACGAUGUAGCAAUACAUUGGUGGCGACCGGCGCACGGGUGAGUAACGCGUAUGCAACCUACCUAUCAGAGGGGAAUAACCCGGCGAAAGUCGGACUAAUACCGCAUAAAACAGGGGUUCCACAUGGAAAUAUUUGUUAAAGAAUUAUCGCUGAUAGAUGGGCAUGCGUUCCAUUAGAUAGUUGGUGAGGUAACGGCUCACCAAGUCCACGAUGGAUAGGGGUUCUGAGAGGAAGGUCCCCCACACUGGUACUGAGACACGGACCAGACUCCUACGGGAGGCAGCAGUGAGGAAUAUUGGUCAAUGGGCGAGAGCCUGAACCAGCCAAGUCGCGUGAAGGAUGAAGGAUCUAUGGUUUGUAAACUUCUUUUAUAUGGGAAUAAAGUGAGGAACGUGUUCCUUUUUGUAUGUACCAUAUGAAUAAGCAUCGGCUAACUCCGUGCCAGCAGCCGCGGUAAUACGGAGGAUGCGAGCGUUAUCCGGAUUUAUUGGGUUUAAAGGGUGCGUAGGUGGUUAAUUAAGUCAGCGGUGAAAGUUUGUGGCUCAACCAUAAAAUUGCCGUUGAAACUGGUUGACUUGAGUAUAUUUGAGGUAGGCGGAAUGCGUGGUGUAGCGGUGAAAUGCAUAGAUAUCACGCAGAACUCCGAUUGCGAAGGCAGCUUACUAAACUAUGACUGACACUGAAGCACGAAAGCGUGGGGAUCAAACAGGAUUAGAUACCCUGGUAGUCCACGCAGUAAACGAUGAUUACUAGCUGUUUGCGAUACACAGUAAGCGGCACAGCG
rnacentral:rRNA from 1 species